rnacentral:lncRNA from 1 species
GCCACUGUGUCACCGUCACUGUGUCACCGUCACUGUCACUGCCACUGUGUCACCGUCACUGUGUCACCGUCACUGUGUCACUGUCACUGUCACUGUGUCACUGUCACUGCGUCACUGCCACUGUCACCAUCACCGUGUCACUGUCACUGUGUCACUGCCACUGUCACUGUCACUGUGUCACCGCCACUGUGUCACUGACACUGUGUCACCAUCACUGUGUCACUGUCACUGCAUCACCAUCACUGUGUCACCAUCACUGUGUCACCGUGUCACCGUCACUGUCACUGCCACUGUGUCACUGCCAGUGUCACCGUCGCUGUGUCACCAUCACUGUCACUGUGUCACUGUCACUGUGUCACUGUCACUGUGUCAACUCUGCCCCCUAGAGCCCUCUCGUCCCAUUGCACCUCGGCUGGACCCUAAGGACUGCCACCACGUCCUGUGUCACUGUGUCACGACGUCAUUGUGUCACCAUGUCACCGUGUCACCGUGUCACUAAGUCACCGUGUCACUGUGUCACUGUGCCACUGCGUCACCGUGCCACUGCAUCACCAUGUCACUGUGUCACCAAGUAAUCAUGUCACUGCAUCACUGUGUCACCAUGUCACCAAG